AGAUAAUAUAAAAUCUAUAAGAGAAGAGCCCAAGAACUCAGACAUUUCAGAAAUGUAGGUUUGAUCAUCCCAGUAGCAAACGUUUUGUAGAUAAUCUGAUAUAUUUCAGCACGAUGGCUGCUUGGAGUCUCCAAUUCCUUGGGAAAGUCACGCUUCUUACUGACGGAAUGCCGUUCCCAUGGGCCUGGACUGCAGAGUCUACUGGAAGUCUUGGCGUCCUGUCUGGUCAUCAGGCCACACUGUGACUUCCAGUCAUUGAAGAGAGAACCAACUCGGGCCCCAGGCGCUGAUUUCUCAUACCUCCCACACCCAUAUUCUUCCUAUUAUAAUCAUCACCCAAUUUCUCUUGUUUGUUUUAACCUUCGAAGAGGCAAAGAACAAGACACGCAAUAUACCACAGGCUUGGCCAUUUUGUGGAAUACAACGCAGCUGGCUGUACAGUAGAAGCCAGGCCUUCUGGAGACACUGGCACCCAUUUCAUAUUGUAU
rnacentral:lncRNA from 1 species